rnacentral:rRNA from 1 species
GACGAACGCUGGCGGCGUGCUUAACACAUGCAAGUCGAGCGAGGCCCCUUCUUCGGGAGGGUGUUCUAGCGGCGAACGGGUGAGUAACACGUGGGCAACCUGCCCUCAGCUCUGGGAUAAACUCCAAGAAAUUGGGGCUAAUACCGGAUAUGACCGCUGACCGCAUGGUCUGGUGGUGGAAAGAUUUAUCGGCUGGGGGAU